rnacentral:lncRNA from 1 species
GCCAAUAUCUACCCCAUUACCAAACAAUGGUGGUGGUUACAGGAUUCUUCUAAAUCACACAAUGUGUCCCAGAAGAGGGUUGUAAUUUAGCCUCAGUUAUCUUGUACAUCCCAUACCAUCUGACACAGUAUGUUCACCAGGAACACCUGGAGAAAUCUUUACGGCCCUCACAAUGGGUGGGUUCUGUUGUGACCCAGUGAUAGAAGGUAAGUACCCCCCACCCCAC